rnacentral:lncRNA from 1 species
UAAAUAAACUUAAUAGAGCAAACUACAAAUAAAAAUUGUAAUUUUCUCUAUGUAGAUUCCUUACACUCCUAUUUAUCUGUAGGUACUUUGUUUGUUGUUGCAGGAGUACAGUUUCUCAUGAUUUCCUGUCCUUCCCUCAGCUCCACAUUCCCUAGGAAGGACCCCACAGGAAGGAAGAAGGCGAUGGCUGCAGGGCCUCUGCCUUUGGAAGCUCAGGUGACACAUCUUUUUCUCUCAAACCUCUUUCUUAUUCUCAUACUGUGUGUGGGAUUCAUUACACAGGACAAAGGUAUUGCCGAUCAGAAUGUUGAGGAGUUUUUGCAAAGCCUCCCUCAGUGUCCCUCUGUUCUCAGGCCACUGAUACCCUGUCCUGCUGGGUUCUUGAUGGUGUUCAAGGAUCAGAAAAGGAACAAAAAUCAUAGAGAAAUGGUCCUUGUGUUUAUACGGCUUAUGGGCUCUCAGGUAUUAUAAAAGAGGACACAUCUGUACAGGAUACAAUUAUAAGGAUUAAACAUGAAAAUAAUGAUAAGAUCAAGUAUGGUUAUGUUCCCAGAUUAUUGGUGUUCCAGAGUCUGGAGAAGAGAAAUAUCAGGGUAGAGAUUAGGAGAAGUAGGGGGUGUUUGCCCAUCUAAAGGGUUGAAAAUGGAUAAAUGUUGAGGAUCUGCUAUAUAACGGAGUUGGAGUGUCCAAUAUUAAAUCCUGACCCUACUAUUUAAUAUCUGCAUUGCCUUAGGCAAGUGACUUGACUUCCUUAAAGCAUCACUUCUUCAUAUUGAUGACAGAAAUAACAGCAUUAACUGAAUUUCUGCCAUACAUCUGGCAUUGUUAAGAAUUACCUAUGGCUCAUCUCAUUUACUUCAUCGGUUUUCUCAAAGCUCAAAUAAGAUAAUGCAAGUGAAAAGAGCCUUAGCUUGGUUCCUGUAAUGUUGAAGGUAUUUGGUAAUUGCUAGGCAUCCUUAGUAUUAGUCCAGCCAAGAACUUGGUAGUUUAGAGUUUCACUGGUGGGGUGAGGGUAGCAGUCACUGAUAGUGAGACAUGCUUGACUGGCAUAGAGGGAAUCCAAUGCCCUAUUUGGAGUCAAGCGGAAAGAGGAGCUUGCAUGUAUGUUGACCUGGCAGGCCUGGGGAUGGAAGAGGUACCUGGGAGAUCAGUCUGAGGAAUUUUGUUAAGAGACUUGGCAUGAUAAAAGUUUUUCUAGCCAGGUGAGGUGGUGCAUGCCUAUAAAUCCAACAGCUUGGGAGGCUCAGGCAGGAGGAUCCUGAAUUCGGAGCCAGCCUCAGCAACUUAACGAGGUCUUAAAGCAACUCAGUGAGACCCCAUCUCUAAAUAAAAAAUAAAAAAGGGUUGGGGAAGUGCUCACUGGUUAAGCACCACUGGGUUCAAUCUUUGAUACCAAAAAAAAAAUAAAAAUGAAAAAUUGUGUAGGAAAAAAAGCAGUGUUAAUCAGAAAGAGGAAACCAUGAAAUUGAAAUCAGAAGUGAGGAGCCCUGACUUAUUACUUGAAAUUAGAACCUGCUAGUUUUCCUGGAAUCUGUAGUUGUUGCUUUUGUGGUAGAGCACUUGCCUAGCCCAUGUGCAAGGCCCUGAGUUCAAUCCCCAGCACCAUGGAAAACAAACAAAAACCAUAAAGCAAUAAUGAAUAUUAGAGAAGGGAGUUUUCUAGAAGAGGGGAAUGUUGAAUAUUAGAGAAGGGAGUUUUCUAGAAGAGGGGAAUGUUUAUGUGGGUCAUCUGGAAGAUUCUGGUUAAUGAAGAUUGUAAUUUGGUUAUCAGUAGCCUGGAUUUGAUUUGCUGUUUAAUGUUAAUUAAGGGUGGCACACGCUUGUAGUUCCAGCGGCUUAGGAAGCUGAGACAGGAAGAUGCUGAGUUCAAAGCCAUCCUCAGCAACUCAGCAAGGCCCUGAGCAACUCAGCAAUAAAAUAUAAAAAAUGGCUGGGAAUGUUGCUCAGUGAUUAAACAACCCUGGGUUCAAUCCCUGCUACCAAAAUAAUAGUAGUAGUAAUAAUAAUAAUGUUACUUGAAAUUUUUCAGUGUUAAAAUUUUAAAUCCACUUUUUUGAGAUAUAAUGAAUAUAAAAUAACCCACUUAAAGCAUUAAAUUAUUU